rnacentral:rRNA from 1 species
AGUCGAGGGGUAUAGUUCUUCGGAGCUAGAGACCGGCGCACGGGUGCGUAACGCGUAUGCAAUCUGCCUUUCACAGAGGGAUAGCCCAGAGAAAUUUGGAUUAAUACCUCAUAGUAUUAUGGAAGGGCAUCCUUUUAUAAUUAAAGUCACAACGGUGAAAGAUGAGCAUGCGUCCCAUUAGCUAGUUGGUAAGGUAACGGCUUACCAAGGCAACGAUGGGUGGGGGUCCUGAGAGGGAGAUCCCCCACACUGGUACUGAGACACGGACCAGACUCCUACGGGAGGCAGCAGUGGGGAAUAUUGGUCAAUGGGCGCAAGCCUGAACCAGCCAUGCCGCGUGCAGGAUGACGGUCCUAUGGAUUGUAAACUGCUUUUGUACGAGAAGAAACACUGAUUCGUGAAUCAGCUUGACGGUAUCGUAAGAAUAAGGAUCGGCUAACUCCGUGCCAGCAGCCGCGGUAAUACGGAGGAUCCAAGCGUUAUCCGGAAUCAUUGGGUUUAAAGGGUCCGUAGGCGGUUUAGUAAGUCAGUGGUGAAAGCCCAUCGCUCAACGGUGGAACGGCCAUUGAUACUGCUGAACUUGAAUUAUUAGGAAGUAACUAGAAUAUGUAGUGUAGCGGUGAAAUGCUUAGAUAUUACAUGGAAUACCAAUUGCGAAGGCAGGUUACUACUAAUGGAUUGACGCUGAUGGACGAAAGCGUGGGGAGCGAACAGGAUUAGAUACCCUGGUAGUCCACGCCGUAAACGAUGGAUACUAGCUGUUGGAAGCAAUUUCAGUGGCUAAGCGAAAGUGAUAAGUAUCCCACCUGGGGAGUACGAA